rnacentral:rRNA from 1 species
GGGAAUAUUGCACAAUGGGCGAAAGCCUGAUGCAGCAACGCCGCGUGAGUGAUGAAGGCCUUCGGGUUGUAAAGCUCUGUCUUCUGGGACGAUAAUGACGGUACCAGAGGAGGAAGCCACGGCUAACUACGUGCCAGCAGCCGCGGUAAUACGUAGGUGGCAAGCGUUGUCCGGAUUUACUGGGCGUAAAGGAUGCGUAGGCGGAUACUUAAGUCAGAUGUGAAAAUCCCGGGCUUAACUUGGGAACUGCAUUUGAAACUGGGUAUCUAGGAUGCGGGAUAGGAAAGUGGAAUUCCUAGUGUAGCGGUGAAAUGCGUAGAGAUUAGGAAGAACACCAGUGGCGAAGGCGACUUUCUGGACCGUAACUGACGCUGAGGCAUGAAAGCGUGAGGAGCAAACA